rnacentral:rRNA from 1 species
CCCUUAGAUGUUCUGGGCUGCACGCGCGCUACACUGAUGCGCUCAACGAGUUUUGAACUUGCCCGGAAGGGUUGGUUAAUCUUUUUAAAACGCAUCGUGAUGGGGAUAGAUUAUUGCAAUUAUUAAUCUUCAACGAGGAAUUCCUAGUAAGCGCGAGUCAUCAGCUCGUGCUGAUUACGUCCCUGCCCUUUGUACACACCGCCCGUCGCUCCUACCGAUUGAGUGGUCCGGUGAAGUCUCGAGAUUGUGGCAAUCUCCUUUAUUGGAGUUUGACUGCGAGAACUUGCCUAAACCUUAUCACUUAGAGGAAGGUGAANUCGUANCA